AUGUGGCACACAAAGCCAGGAAAAUUCUAUGGCCUUCGAGCUGAGAUGAGUAUAUGGGAUUCAUCAAAUCAAGAAAACUCUCAAGAAUCUGGAGCAUCCUUACAGAUCUAUUGUCAAGAUGGAGGAAACUACAACUUAAUUCAAGCGGGAUUUCACAUUUCCCCCUCUUUAUACCAUAACAAAGAUAUUCGCUUCUUUACAUAUUGGACUAAGGACUUAAAAUCAAGGGGCUGCUACAACUUGCAGUGCCCAGGAUUUGUUUCUGCAAGUGGAGCUAAUCUGGUACCUGGACAAGCCAUUGUUCCUCCAUCAAUUUAUGGAAAACAAGACUACUAUGUUAGGCUUAGCCUCAACCAGGAUCCAAAUUCCGAAGAUUGGGUGGUGUACCGUCAUGAUUUAGAAAAACCAUCAUUAUUGGGACAUUUUCCAAAGGAGCUUUGCCCUGGAACACCACGUAUACAAGCCUUGACUGGAUUUGUGAAUUACUUGAAGAAUGCACAUGGUCCUCCAAUGGGUAGUGGCCACUUCCCCGAUCAUUACGAUCAUGACAAUAAGAAAUCUGCGUACUUCAAGCACAUUCGGUAUUACAAUCCAAAUGGUCAUUCUUAUAGCCCGUUUGGCGUUCCAAUGGUCAAGUUAGUUGAUAGGCUAGAUUGCUAUAGAGCAAAUGAUUUAGUUCUUGAUUAUAAGAGGGGCUAUAUGUUCAACUAUGGUGGACCAAGUGGUUGUGUUGGUUGA
rnacentral:rRNA from 1 species